rnacentral:RNase_P_RNA from 1 species
GACAAACGCUGGAGUCCUUGAGACUCUUGAGGAAAGUCCAUGCUCUCACAGUCUGCGAUGACUGUAGUGUUCGUGCCUAGGGAACAAAUAACCUAGGGUAGUUUAACUAACGGCGAAGAUGAAUCUAAGUUUUUUAAUAUGAUUCUAUUCAUAAAGUGCCGCAGUGACGAUGCUUUUGGAAACAAAAGAGUGAAACGUGGUAAACCCCGCGAGAGAGAAAUCCAAAAUUGGUAGGAGAGUCCUAACGAAAGAAUUGAAUGGAGUUAGGGACCGGGAAACUGGUAGAUAAAUGUUUGUCGCCUAGGAAACUAGGAACAGAACAUGGCUUAUU